rnacentral:lncRNA from 1 species
CUUCAGCGAGAUUAAGAUGAUGAAUCGUGGGUCUGCGGUUGGGUGUGGUAGAAGAUGAUUUCAAGCGUUUUUCGAAUUUAAUAUUGUUGGGUGUGGUAGAAGAUGAUGAAUAGUGGGUCUGUGGUUGGGUUUGAGAUUGAGAUUGAUUAUUUUGAGAAUAAAAAGCCUUAAUCUGAGCACGAAGCUCCUCAAAGAUAUGUUGGCCUUUCCGGUUGAAGAACCGCCGUAGAUGGAUGAGCUGCCGAGAGCCGACGGGCCUGGAUUGGGUUGGAGAUGAUUGUAGUCUCUCUUCAUGGUUUGCUAAUUUCUUUUUCUUUUCUUUCAAGUUUGGGGAUUAGAGAAAUCU